rnacentral:rRNA from 1 species
AUUGAACGCUGGCGGCAGGCCUAACACAUGCAAGUCGAACGGUAACAGGAAGAAGCUUGCUUCUUUGCUGACGAGUGGCGGACGGGUGAGUAAUGUCUGGGAAACUGCCUGAUGGAGGGGGAUAACUACUGGAAACGGUAGCUAAUACCGCAUAACGUCGCAAGACCAAAGGGGGGGACCUUCGGGCCUCUUGCCAUCGGAUGUGCCCAGAUGGGAUUAGCUAGUAGGUGGGGUAACGGCUCACCUAGGCGACGAUCCCUAGCUGGUCUGAGAGGAGGACCAGCCACACUGGAACUGAGACACGGUCCAGACUCCUACGGGAGGCAGCAGUGGGGAAUAUUGCACAAUGGGCGCAAGCCUGAUGCAGCCAUGCCGCGUGUAUGAAGAAGGCCUUCGGGUUGUAAAGUACUUUCAGCGGGGAGGAAGGGAGUAAAGUUAAUACCUUUGCUCAUUGACGUUACCCGCAGAAGAAGCACCAGCUAACUCCGUGCCAGCAGCCGCCGUAA